AGUGAACGCUGGCGGUAGGCCUAACACAUGCAAGUCGAACGGCAGCACAGUAAGAGCUUGCUCUUACGGGUGGCGAGUGGCGGACGGGUGAGGAAUACAUCGGAAUCUACUUUUUCGUGGGGGAUAACGUAGGGAAACUUACGCUAAUACCGCAUACGACCUAUGGGUGAAAGCAGGGGAUCUUCGGACCUUGCGCGAUUGAAUGAGCCGAUGUCGGAUUAGCUAGUUGGCGGGGUAAAGGCCCACCAAGGCGACGAUCCGUAGCUGGUCUGAGAGGAUGAUCAGCCAGACUGGAACUGAGACACGGUCCAGACUCCUACGGGAGGCAGCAGUGGGGAAUAUUGGGCAAUGGGCGCAAGCCUGAUCCAGCCAUACCGCGUGGGUGAAGAAGGCCUUCGGGUUGUAAAGCGCUUUUGUUGGGAAAGAAAAGCAGCAGGUUAAUACCCCGCUGUUCUGACGGUACCCAAAGAAUAAGCACCGGCUAACUUCGUG
rnacentral:rRNA from 1 species